UACAGAGGCCUCGAGCGUUAGGCGGAAUCACUGGGCUUAAAGCGUGUGUAGGCGGCCUUCUAAGUACCUUGUGAAAUCCCACGGCUCACCCGUGGAACUGCUUGGUAUACUGGUUGUCUUGAGCCUUCUAGGGGCGAGUGGAACAAAGGGUGGAGCGGUGAAAUGCGUAGAUAUCAUUUGGAACGCCAAUGGUGAAAACAACUCGCUGGGGAAGUGCUGACGCUGAGACACGAAAGCCAGGGGAGCAAACGGG
rnacentral:rRNA from 1 species